AGGUAGAAGAACCGACACCAGUGACUGAAUCUAAUUCAAAUUUGAUAAAAUCAAAUUUGGAGCCUAAUAUACAAACAUCCUUAAGGCGAUCUGGUAGAGUAUCGCAUCAGUCGGAUAGAUACCUAGGUUUCUUGAUCCGAGAUGGGGAUCCUGUUGAGCUCAAUGAGAACAACGAAAAUUCAAUCACCUAUAUGGAUGCAAUACAGAGGUCCGACUCUGAGAAAUAGUUUGAAGUCAUAAAAUCUAAAAUGGAAUCCAUGAAGAUCAACAAUGUGUGGACAUUGGUUGAUCCACCU
rnacentral:lncRNA from 1 species